CGCCUGGGGAGUACGGCCGCAAGGCUAAAACUCAAAGGAAUUGACGGGGCCCCGCACAAGCGGCGGAGCAUGCGGAUUAAUUCGAUGCAACGCGUAGAACCUUACCUGGGUUUGACAUGGAUCGGGAAUGCUCAGAGAUGGGUGUGCCUCUUUUGGGGUCGGUUCACAGGUGGUGCAUGGCUGUCGUCAGCUCGUGUCGUGAGAUGUUGGGUUAAGUCCCGCAACGAGCGCAACCCUUGUUCACUGUUGCCAGCACGUUAUGGUGGGGACUCAGUGGAGACCGCCGGGGUCAACUCGGAGGAAGGUGGGGAUGACGUCAAGUCAUCAUGCCCCUUAUGUCCAGGGCUUCACGCAUGCUACAAUGGCUGGUACAGAGAGUGGCGAGCCUGUGAGGGUGAGCGAAUCUCGGAAAGCCGGUCUCAGUUCGGAUUGGGGUCUGCAACUCGACCUCAUGAAGUCGGAGUCGCUAGUAAUCGCAGAUCAGCAACGCUGCGGUGAAUACGUUCCCGGGGCUUGUACACACCGCCCGUCAAGUCAUGAAAGUUGGUAACACCCGAAGCCGGUGGCCUAACCGUUGUGGGGGAGCCGUCGAAGGUGGGACUGGUGACUAGGACUAAGUCGUAACAAGGUAACCGUA
rnacentral:rRNA from 1 species